rnacentral:lncRNA from 1 species
CAUUUAUGUUCUAUCCUUAAACACAACCUUAUAAAGUAUUGUUAAUAAUAAUUCCAUUCCAGACACUGGGUGUUUAGUCUAGUAGUUAAGAUAUCCAUGUAUUCUGAGGGAAUUCCUGGAUUUGAUUGCCAGCUCUGGUUCCUGACUCCAACUAUCCACCAACACAGACCCUGUGACAUAGCAGUGAUGGCUCAAGUGAUUUGGUUCCUGCCCCAUUGUGGGAGAACUGGAUUGUGUUCACAGCACCUGACUCUGGCCACAGCCAGCUCCACCCAUUGCAGCCAUUUGAAGAGUGAACUAGCAGUUUUUUCUCCAGAAAUUCAUAGGAGUUUCAGUAUUGCCCAAGGUGUAAAUCCACUAUUGACCAACACAGGGUAUGAUGACAGGUGAGUACCACAAUCUAUAACAGAAUUAAGUGGUAAGUGGGGUAGAAAUUGAGGAAUUUGAUAGGAAUUACAUACUAUUAUAGUAUUAAUGAUUUUGUGACUACUUUAAAAUUUAUAUGAGUGAAGUUGAACAUCUCUUCAUUUGUUUAUUGCUUAUAACCCUUGUCCAUUUUCCUGCU